GCGAAAAUAGCUCAAUAGGUAGAGUACAAUCUUGCCAAGAUUGUGGUUGAGGGUUCGAAUCCCUUUUUUCGCU
rnacentral:tRNA from 1 species